UUUUUUUUUUGGCACUACUGAGGAUUGAACCUAAGGGUACUUUACCACUGAGCUACAACUCCAACUUCUUUUUUGGGGGGUAGGACAGUACUGGGGAUUGAAGUCAGGAACACCCAAACACUGAGCCACAUCCCCAGCCCUAUUUUGUAUUUUAUUUAGAGACAGGGUCUCACUGAGCUGCUUAGGGCCUCACCAUUGCUGAGGCUGGAUUUCAACUUGUUAUCCUCCUACCUCAGUCUCCAUAGCCACUGGGAUUACAGGCCUGUGCCACGUCACCCAGGUCCAACUCCUUUUUUAUCUUGAGACAGGGUCUCACUAAAUUGCCUAGACUGGUCUUGAACUUUCAAUCCUCCUGCCUUAGUUCUUGAAUAGAUGGGAUUACAAAUGUGUGUCACUAUGUUCAGCUUGGGGUCACUUAAUUUUUUUUUAAUAUUUUUGUAGUUUUUGAUAGACCUUUAUUUUAUUUAUUUAUAUGCGGUGCUGAGAAUCAAACCCAGUGCCUCACACAUGCCAGGCAAGUGCGCUAUUGCUGAGCCACAGCACCAACCCCGGGGUCACUUAAAUUUUGAUAAAAAUUAUGAACUAAAAAACUUGUCUUGGGCUGAG
rnacentral:lncRNA from 1 species